UAUCUUUUUCUUUCUUCCUCUUUCUUCUUCGUUUCUUCUCUGUUCUUAUUUCUUUUCUUCUCUGUUUCAUCCCCCGGUAGAGAUUUGAGAUCGUGAGAGUUAUGGAAGUAUCAAGGAGUGACUGUUACUAGUGAGGUUGAUAUUAAUUUGUUAUGAGAAAAAGAAGGAACGAAGUCUAGAGAGAAUCAGAAAGUUAGGGUUUCUGGAUUUGAAGUUUGAUUUGUAUAGAUUGAUGAUGAUGAUUUCGAGUUGAUAAUGGUUGAAUAUCGAAAUAGUUGGGGGUGUAUUGGUGAUAUGAAGUUGUCCUGAUGAAGAAUCAAAAAUUAAAAGGUAAUUUAGGGUUUUGUUAAUUUGAAUUGGUCUUGAGUAAAAUUGAUGAAUCUUAGAUGGGUUAGCUUGAAUUAAGUAGAACUGGUUGUGGGAAGUUUUAAUUAUGAUUUGAUUGUGAAAGUGAGAAAUCUCAUAUUAUGGUUCCUCAUGUUCUUCCCCAAUUUUGAAAUAAGUGUUCCUGGUUUUGAAUUGAAGUUUGUAUGGAGUAUUGUUCUUUUGGAUGGUUGAUAGUGGUGUUGGGAACUGGAAAAUGAUUGUGUUGUUAAACUGGAGUUGAGUGCUUUAAAAUAGGAUGUGUUUUGGUUUGAGUGAAUCUGUAAUUAGGAAUUAAGUUGAAGAAUGUUAUGGAAGCAGAGAAUAAUAGUUCAGAAAGAACUGUAGUUGCGCUGUGAUGGUUGUGGUUGUUUGUUAGUGUUGAAUGGGGUUUGCACUGGUGAAGUACAAACUCUGGAUUUGAGUUUAUGAAUGCAAACUUGGACUGCCAAGAGUGUUAAUCAUGUUACUCUGAACUAAAUUGGAUGCUAGUGCAAAAUGUUAUGAGUUGUGGUGGUGUUGUCGAGAUUGCAGGGGAUAUCAAUGGCUGUUGGAGGUUGGGUGUUGGUGUUGUAUAAGUAGUUGUUAUUGCAUAACUGGAGUUGGAGGUGGAAGUAGUAAUGAAGUUAUGAUUGGUCUGUGGUGUUAUGAUUUGUUGGGGGCUGAAAUGAUUGGAAUUGAGUCACGACUGGUGUUGAUGCUGAUGGUGGUGUGUAUCUGUUAUGCAAUUAUGACUUGAGCAGUAGUGUUUAACUCAGUGUGUUGAGAUGAGAUGUUUUGGGUACUGAACUAGAAUGGCAAUGGGAGAUGAAUUUGAGUUGCAAUUAGAGCAACAUAGGAGUUGGUUAUAAGUCUUAGAUUUUGUAUAUGCUGGUUAGAUGUGUAAGUUGAAGAAGAGUGUAAUGUUGUUAUGGAAGGGAUCUUAGUGGAAGCCUGCAAAUGCAAAUCAAGGUUCAGAGACAGACCAGUGUUGCGCAGCGAAAGCUUCGAGGAGUUGACUCCGUUAAUUAGUUAAAUAUUGCUAUGUUUAUUAUGUUGUAUAUUCUAUUUGUAAACCAAAUGACUAUUGUAUAUGUAUCACUUGAGAGUAGUUGUUGUAUAUAUAUUUCAGAGAGGGGAUAGUUUUUGGGUUAAGUUUUGUAGCAGAUUUCUUAUUGAAUGCUUAAGUAUAUGAUUUAGAUUCUUA